CGUGUAGGCGGUUAUGUAAGUCAGAUGUGAAAGCCUCCCGCUUAACGGGAGAAGUGCAUUUGAAACUACAUGACUAGAGUACGGGAGAGGAGAGUGGAAUUCCCGGUGUAGAGGUGAAAUUCGUAGAUAUCGGGAGGAACACCAGUGGCGAAGGCGGCUCUCUGGCCUGAUACUGACGCUGAGACGCGAAAGCGUGGGGAGCAAACAGGAUUAGAUACCCUGGUAGUCCACGCCGUAAACGAUGGGCACUAGGUGUAGGAGGUAUUGACCCCUUCUGUGCCGAAGCUAACGCAUUAAGUGCCCCGCCUGGGGAGUACGGCCGCAAGGUUAAA
rnacentral:rRNA from 1 species